UCCUACGGGGGGCAGCAGUGGGGAAUAUUGGACAAUGGGCGCAAGCCUGAUCCAGCCAUGCCGCGUGAGUGAUGAAGGCCCUAGGGUUGUAAAGCUCUUUCACCGGUGAAGAUAAUGACGGUAACCGGAGAAGAAGCCCCGGCUAACUUCGUGCCAGCAGCCGCGGUAAUACGAAGGGGGCUAGCGUUGUUCGGAUUUACUGGGCGUAAAGCGCACGUAGGCGGACUUUUAAGUCAGGGGUGAAAUCCCAGAGCUCAACUCUGGAACUGCCUUUGAUACUGGAAGUCUUGAGUAUGGUAGAGGUGAGUGGAAUUCCGAGUGUAGAGGUGAAAUUCGUAGAUAUUCGGAGGAACACCAGUGGCGAAGGCGGCUCACUGGACCAUACUGACGC
rnacentral:rRNA from 2 species